rnacentral:lncRNA from 1 species
ACCAUCUUGGACACACACCGCCAUCAUGGACACACACCGCCAUCGUGGACACACACUGCUAUCUUGGCCAUCGUGGACACACACCACCAUCUGGGACACACACCGCCAUCUUGGACACACACCAUCUUGGACACACACCGCCAUCUUGGAUAAGCACCACCAUCUUGGACACACACCAUCUUGGACACACACGGCCAUCUUGGAUAAGCACCACCAUCUUGGACACACACCAUCUGGGACACACACUGCCAUCUUGGACCCAUAACACCAUCUUGGACAAGCACCGCCAUCUUGGACACACUGCCAGCUUGGAUACACACCACCAUCUUGAAAAAGCACCACCACCUUGGACACACAACACCUUGGACACACACUGCCAUCUUGGAUAAGGACCACCAUCUUGGACACACACCAUCUUGGG